rnacentral:rRNA from 1 species
UUACCUACGGGACGCAGCAGUGAGGAAUAUUGGUCAAUGGGCGCGAGCCUGAACCAGCCAAGUCGCGUGAGGGAUGAAGGAUCUAUGGGUCGUAAACCUCUUUUAUAAGGGAAUAAAGUGCGGGACGCGUCCCGCUUCGCAUGUACCUUAUGAAUAAGGAUCGGCUAACUCCGUGCCAGCAGCCGCGGUAAUACGGAGGAUGCGAGCGUUAUCCGGAUUUAUUGGGUUUAAAGGGUGCGCAGGCGGCACGGCAAGCCGGCGGUCAAAUCG